UACGUAGGUGGCAAGCGUUGUCCGGAUUUACUGGGCGUAAAGAGCGCGCAGGCGGUCGAUUUAGUCGCGUGUGAAAGCCCCCGGCUCAACUGGGGAGGGUCACGCGAUACUGAUCGACUCGAAGGCAGGAGAGGGUAGUGGAAUUCCCGGUGUAGUGGUGAAAUGCGUAGAUAUCGGGAGGAACACCAGUGGCGAAGGCGGUUGCCUGGAGCUUUGCUGACGCUGAGGCGCGAAAGCGUGGGGAGCGAUCCGG
rnacentral:rRNA from 1 species